rnacentral:rRNA from 12 species
UCUCCCCCAAGAGUUCACAUCGACGGGGAGGUUUGGCACCUCGAUGUCGGCUCAUCACAUCCUGGGGCUGAAGUCGGUCCCAAGGGUAUGGCUGUUCGCCAUUUAAAGUGGUACGCGAGCUGGGUUUAGAACGUCGUGAGACAGUUCGGUCCCUAUCUGGUGUGGGCGUUGGAUGAUUGAUGGGAGCUGCUCCUAGUACGAGAGGACCGGAGUGGACGAACCGCUGGUGUUCGGGUUGUCAUGCCAAUGGCAUUGCCCGGUAGCUACGUUCGGAACGGAUAACCGCUGAAAGCAUCUAAGCGGGAAGCCGGCCCAAAGAUGAGUCAUCCCUGACUUUUAAAGUCCGGAAGGGUUGUUAUAGACGAUGACGUUGAUAGGCAGGAUGUGGAAGCGUUGUAAGGCGUUAAGCUAACCUGUACUAAUUGCCCGA